rnacentral:tmRNA from 1 species
GGGGCUGACUUGGAUUUCGACAGAUUUCUUGUCGCAUAGACAGCAUGCCAAGCGCUGCUUGUAAAACAGCAACAAAAAUAACUGUAAACAACACAGAUUACGCUCCAGCUUACGCUAAAGCUGCGUGAGUUAAUCUCCUUUUGGAGCUGGACUGAUUAGAAUUUCUAGCGUUUUAAUCACUCCAUAACCUUAAGCUAGACGCUUUUAAAAGGUGGUUCGCCUUUUAAACUAAGAAAUAAGAACUCUUGAAACUACCUCAAGGUUUUAGAAAGUUGGACCAGAGCUAGUUUUAAGGCUAAAAAACCAACCAAUUUUCUAAGCAUUGUAGAAGUUUGUGUUUAGGGCAAGAUUUUUGGACUGGGGUUCGAUUCCCCACAGCUCCACCA